CAACUGCUGAGGAGUUCUACAAUAGGACGAAACAGUUGUCAAGUGC
rnacentral:hammerhead_ribozyme from 1 species